UCCAUAUUGAAUAGGCGUAACUUCAUGUUCCAACGAAAAUGCAUCAACAUGAAGUUUCGCCCAAUUGAAUUUUAUCAAUUAUUUGAAAGUUUUAAGUAAUUUUAAGAUGAAACCGCGUUUAAUAGGUAAAGUGCAACCGCGUGCAUCCGGAAUAACCGUUAACUCGAUUUGUUUACAUUUGGUAGUUUCGCCCUUUUGAAAUGUUACGCUAGAAAUCAUUCCGAUUGAAAUGGCGACUGGUGGGGUCUACGCUGCGCGGAGCUCCUGCGAGUGCUGUUCGGAGAAACAGAUUUAUCGCGCGUUGCAGAGAAUGAAAGGUCGAGGAAAUACCGUUCGGACAUAGUUUUAUUUUGAGUUGGAAUGUUCCGGGGUUGUGGAGUGGCGUAAUCGCAAAAAGAUAUCCAGCAUCAGAGGUUUCACCAAAUGUGAUAGCUAAGGAGACGGGAAUACGGGUUUCGACGUGUGGUUGUCUAAUUGCCCUGGCUUCCGGUAUUGAAAAAAAGUUGGACUAGGAAAGAAAAUUAUAUUUUGUGUACCAGUGAGAAAUAUAUUUAUUUCUCACUGGUACACAAAAUGUGUAAUGUAUGUGUAACUAUAAGAUGGCUUAAUAAAAGUAAAACAACCUAAAAUUCUAAUCAUAAAAUUGAAUUUCAUCAUUUAAAUUUGGGAAAUCACAUGUCAAAUGAAGUUGCCACGCAGACAUACGCAAUGCUUGUCAAUACACGCACACAAAUGUACAAACGACUCACACCAAGAAAAUCAAACACUGACAGAUGUCAAACAAGCUGUCAUUCUAAAAAUUCAUUUCUAAUCAUUAAAAUUCAUUAGCUUGGGCCAUUUUCCACUAGAAAACAAUGAGAUGGCUAGUAGGUGGCAAGUAGGAUUCCUACUAAUCUUUCUAGUGGUCCUACUACUCUUUUCCGUCAAAGGGCGAUCACGAUCGUCGUUCGAUUGGAUCGUGAAAGAUCUCAUAAUUAUGAGUUAUUUUCAGAGUUCAUUUACAGUGUGUAGAAUAUAAAUCCGGACAUGACAGCGAGUGAUCGUGUGAUUUGCAAGUAUGACAAAAUUUGGGCCCUGGACAAUUGCCGCUGUCGUGAUUUGUGCUAGAACAAACACUACACGCGCGUUUGUUCGGACAUCGGCUCUUCGGGUGACCAUAUGAGAAGCAAAGGCGGUAUAGCAAUGGCUGUGGUACGUAGACACGGGUUCGGACUUCGGACUCGGAGAAGACCAAAAUCCACGAACUCGGGGAUGAUCGUACUGCUUAUAGUAAGGACUAAGGUUGGUGUAAGGUUAGGAAAAGGUACACGCAGAGAAAACGUGACAUUGAAACAAAAGAAAUACGUUUUUGAAUCAAGGUUCUAGUGUUAUUUGAAUCUAAACCUUAUUUUUUUUAUUUAAAUUUUUUUUCUAUCAAAAGGAAAGAAAAUUAUUUUGAGUUAAUGUACAGGAAUUUUGACUUGACGUACUGUACUUAAAAUCAAAAGACAAUAAAUUCGUGCUACAGUCAAUGAAAAAAUUCUUUGAUUUUGUUUAAAUUUUCUUCGAAACCAACAGCGAUGGAAAACACUGUGGCGGAAAGUUCUCAAUACCGUGGAAGAUUUUUGGUGAGUUUUCUUUAAAUUUAUCUGAAGUGAAUUAUUAAAUUUUUAAAUUAGUUUUAGGUAUUCAGCCGACGACGAUUAGUUCUAAAGAAAGAGCGAAUUGAAAGCUGUGAAAUUUCAAGUUGCCCAAUUUAUAAUAUGAUCCGCUUGUUGGCCAAAAAUUCGUCUGCAGAUCAAUGUAAGCAUGUUGAAAAGUGAGUACCUUCAAUAUUAUAUACUGUUGAACUACGAUCUUUAAAUUGCUAGUGCUUAACUACC